GAUGAACGCUGGCGGCGUGCCUAAUACAUGCAAGUCGAGCGAACAGACGAGGAGCUUGCUCCUCUGACGUUAGCGGCGGACGGGUGAGUAACACGUGGAUAACCUACCUAUAAGACUGGGAUAACUUCGGGAAACCGGAGCUAAUACUGGAUAAUAUAUUGAACCGCAUGGUUCAAUAGUGAAAGACGGUUUUGCUGUCACUUUUAGAUGGAUCCGCGCCGGAUUAGCUAGUUGGUAAGGUAACGGCUUACCAAGGCGACGAUGCGUAGCUGACCUGAGAGGGUGAUCGGCCACACUGGAACUGAGACACGGUCCAGACUCCUACGGGAGGCAGCAGUAGGGAAUCUUGCGCAAUGGGCGAAAGCCUGACGGAGCAACGCCGCGUGAGUGAUGAAGGUCUUCGGAUCGUAAAACUCUGUUAUUAGGGAAGAACAAAUGUGUAAGUAACUAUGCACGUCUUGACGGUACCUAAUGAGAAAGCCACGGCUAACUACGUG
rnacentral:rRNA from 1 species